AAGUCGUAACAAGGUUUCCGUAGGUGAACCUGCGGAAGGAUCAUUUCCGAAACAAAUUUCCAUACCAACCAACCAUGUGAAAUGUAAUUGUCUUUACUGUGGCACACCCUAAAGGGGGGGAUGCGUGAGUGUGUGUGUGUGUGGAGGUGGGGUGUGUAGCGGGGGGGAAGUGGCGCUUUUCAAGUGUUGCUUUCUCUCCCUCACCCCCCUCUCUCUCUCUCCUGCCGCCUCUUAUUCUCUCCUGUGCCACAGGCCUUGAUGAACUACCUUGAAUAGGUUGAUUUAUUGUCGUUCUUCCUACCAAUGGAAAACCAAUUAAAUGACAACUUUUAACGGUGGAUCUCUUGGCUCGU
rnacentral:misc_RNA from 1 species